GUCUUCAUUCAGUGUGGUCGAGUUUGUGGAUGAAGUUGACUCUGAUGGCUGCAAGAAGGUAGACAUCGUUCCAUCAGAGUGGUUCCAUGAUACAGAGAGAAAAUUAUGCUGGUGGCCUCCUGCCUCAUUGGUGAAUGUGACAAAGGCUGUAAAGGAAGGAACACCACCAACCAGCAACUGGAUACUCUGCAAUGUCCGUGUCAUGGGAAAUGCAGGCCAAGUGUUAAACUGAUGAAGAAUCAACUGAGCAGCCACACUGAAUCAAGUGAGCCUUCUGAUUCAGAUGAAGAACUUCCACCCACGCCUCCAGAACAACUCCUUAAGCAACCCUCUGGAAAAAACAAUAGUGUAGUUGCCACCCCCGCUGCCCGGAGUGCCGCCAGCCCCACUUGUGGAGCCAUGUUCUCGAAAGUCCUUGCCAUUUUAGAGGAAGUGAAGGAGACUCAACUGGUUCAUAGCAAGAUGUUAAAUGCCUUGCUGAAGCAGAAAAAUGGUUCAGUUACGGCGGUCCCUGAAGGGGUUGUUUUACCUCUUAAAACCCAAGACGAUGUUGAGGCUCUUAAUGGAAAACUGGAGGACUCCAGUCUCAUGUAA
rnacentral:lncRNA from 1 species